rnacentral:rRNA from 1 species
UACAGAGGUCCCGAGCGUUGUUCGGAUUCACUGGGCGUAAAGGGUGCGUAGGUGGCGAGGUAAGUCGGAUGUGAAAGCUCGGAGCUCAACUCCGAAAUGGCAUUGGAAACUACCUUGCUCGAGGGUUGGAGGGGGGACUGGAAUGCUUGGUGUAGCAGUGAAAUGCGUAGAUAUCAUGAGGAAGACCAGUGGCGAAGGCGGGUCUCUGGACAGUUCCUGACACUGAGACACGAAGGCUAGGGGAGCAAACGGG